rnacentral:rRNA from 1 species
CGAACGGGUGCGUAACACGUGAGAAACCUGCCCCGAUCUCUGGGAUAACAGUUGGAAACGACUGCUAAUACCGGAUGCCGUCACACCGCUUCAUGGCGGAGUGCCGAAAGAUUUAUCGGAUCGGGAGGGUCUCGCGGCCUAUCAGCUAGUUGGAGAGGUAACGGCUCACCAAGGCAUCGACGGGUAGCUGGUCUGAGAGGAUGAUCAGCCACACUGGGACUGAGACACGGCCCAGACUCC